UUAUACUUCAUUGUAAAUAUGGUUUGUAUAAAUGGUAAUGACUAUUCCAGUUUAACCCUAAUUUACUUUUAAUAGGAAAAAAUAAAUCAAACAUCAUCUAUUCAGUUUUUCAACUAAAUUGUGACAGCCUUUUCCACUCAUUUCUUUGAAAGGUCUCUGUGUUCAUACAGUGUAAUUAAUGGGGGCACAAGUGGGAGAGUGUUCAGUGGAGAGCCUUUUGUGCCCUUGAUGUGGCUUAUGGAUUGGAAUAAUGAAGGACAGGUAUCCAGGCCAAUUCUUAAUUUCCUUUCUAUUUCAACAUUUUAUUUGAAUGGUGGUAGGAACUAUUACUAUAAUUUACUAAGUCUUUUCUUUCAGAUAGUUAUUUUGAAGGUAAUUAUUAGAAGAGAUAAGAUAUACAUCUGUACAGAGAAAUUUUCUAAUUGCAUACAGGGGCUUCUUUAGAAUGUUUUAUACAUAUAUUUGAACUUUUUAUGAUCAGUAAAUUCACCAAUUAAAAAAGCACAUACACACAAAAAUCCGUCCUAGUCCCAGCCCAAUCAUUCUGCUGGACACAUGCAGAGAGGAAAAGUCCAGUAAGUACUAACUCAGGCAAGGGGUUCAUUGUGAGCCUUGCGGAACUUGACCGGCUGACUCAUGGUGUGGGGUGCAUUCAAGUCUCAUAACAGCUUUUCGGUCCAUCAGAAUCAGCACUCAAUAACUAAAACCUUAUUUUACUUUUCUUCUGAGUUCUUGCUUACCCAGCAUCAGCAGGGCUAUUAAUGCUUUCAUAGGGAUAAAAGAUAGUUUAGGAGCGAGAGAUGUCCUCCUAAAAUAGUUUAAGCAAAGAGUGAAAUGGAGUUUGGUGCAAGAAUCCAGAAUUGUUUUAACCUUCAGAAAUAGCAGAAGGCUUCACCAAUUUGUGUUCUAAGAGAAAGAAAACUUUAAACAUGAAGCUGUAUCACACGCCAUAUAAUCUCAGAUAGGGCAAGAUAGCUGGUCUAUGGUUUUCCUUUACUAUCACUUGGAGUCUUACAAUCUCUCUACCAUACUAUAGGCUAUGUAAGGGCAAAGACUUCCUUAUUCACCUUUAAAUCCUGAACCCCAGGCUUAAUGCUGACACCUUGUCACUCCGUGAAUGUUUUAUGAAUUAAUAAUUAUGUAUUUUGAGCCCAUAGCAAAGCAAAGAAUUGUCUUCUCAGGGAGCACUCCUAACUACUUCUGGUUUAAGUACUCCGGACAACUGCUCAAUUUGAAUCGAUUGUUGCUCAAAUGAACUCUUAAAAUUCUUAAUAUGCUUCAGUUUAUCUUUUAACAGUUCAGGGGUCAGAAGCAGGAACCAAAGGAGACACCCCAGUGGCCCCCAGGAGCAGUGAGCAACCUUGUGUAGAUACCUCUUAUGCCCGUGAGCUUGCUGCUUUCUCACCAUCUCUGGAGGUCAUGAGUUUUGGUGACCAGGAUGAGACCUAAUGGGACACCCAACUGUCUCCUAAGCCUGUAGACGGCAUCCUGGGAAAAUUGGCAGAAGCCAGCAAAGGCUAAGAAUUCUUGCCAAAGUCCUCUUUCCCAGAUCUUUGAUGCCAGGAUGACAAAGGAAGAUUUUCUUGGAGAAUCCAAAUUCUUUGUCCUCUGCAGUACAGAAGUGAAUAGGAAAUAAUCCAUGCUGGCCAAGAAGGCAAAGAUGACAAAACAGAAGCCUAAUUCGUUCAGUAAACUGCAAGUGCUUCUCUUGUGUCAGCAAAUGACAGAGUAAAAACUCUAUUCCAG